AACUGGGAUUAGAUACCCCACUAUGGAGAGCGUGAACUAGCACACCAAAGCACUAAAGCCACGUUUGGUUAAAACUUAAAGAGUAUGGCGGUGGACCCAAUAUUCAGGGGAACUUGCCACAUAAUAGACAACCCCCUAGACAGUUCGCAACUCUUAUAAUCAAUAAGUUUGUAUACCGCCGUCUGCAGGCCUCCCCCAAAGGAAGAGCCAAACCCAACAGAUCUUGUUAAAGACAGGCCAUGGUGCAGCUAAUAGAGUUGAGUAGUCGGUGAGUUACAAUAAUGUGUUAGAAUUUUUUUCGGACAUGCGGGCAGAAAGUGACUUACUAGUCGCGGGAGCCCCGCUUAGAAGGUGGACUUGACCGUAACCGUCAUUAUAUUUACUCGGUGAACAAUCUUGGUUCCGUGUACACACCGCCCGUCACCC
rnacentral:rRNA from 1 species